UUAGGAUUUCAGUCCCUGCUCAGGGAAAACAGACCUUUCUCAAAUGUUUAGGGAAAGGAAGAAUGCUGCAAAGGUGUGUUGGUAGGGUUCUGAACAAAGAAAAAGCCUUGCUAUGCAGUGUUUUCCAACUCCUGUGAUGUGAACACUCCCACCAUGGCUGAUUUUAAGUUACUGAGUUCUCCAUUUUAGGACAAUUUUCUCACCUGGAAUUAAUUGAAUACUGGGUGUCCCAGAAGAAGAAUCUUGCAACACCACAAUGGCUCAAUAAUGUCCUACAGAAGCAACACCUUUCUGUCUUGGAAUAGAAGCUCACUGUAUAGAUUAAGGGAGACCUGCGUUUUCUGAUGG